UAUGCUUAUUCUUUAUUCUUUGAUUCUCUUCUUCGAUCUCCUUCUUCUCUUUCCUUUUUCGUUUCCUUCUUCUUCUUUCCAUACGUCUUCCUUCACCUUCGGCGCUGUAAUCUGCUCUACACCCUUGAACCGCGUGCCGCCUCCACUUGCCUCGGCCAUCAACCGUACUCCGCAGUCCCUUCGUGACUUGUUGACAGCGAGCCUCGCUGCCCACAUCCUCAAACGCCAACCGUAGUUCUUCCUUUCAAUCGAUCCACUUGCCUACUCAUUCUUGGACUUCGACUGCAGGUGCUAAUGGUGCGUCAUCGCUUCGGAUCAACAUCGAAGUUCUUCCUUUCCUUCUCCGUGCGGCUUUGAAGAUAGCAGUUUUUGCUUGGUUGGACGUGACACGAAUCUUGUAGUUGAAACUAGCAAUGGAAAGCUUCAAGAUACAUCAAAUGUAAAGAAUGUGAGACCAUUUGGGGGAGGGCUAGGGAUGUGUUCACGCUGUGAACUUUGGCAAGCUUGAGACUGCUAUUUUUUCUUUACGAUUUUCUCCUUAAUUCUAGUUUUUUUUUUUUUUUAAAUUACUCAAGUCACAUGCAUGCAUUGCCAUUAAUUAAUUUAUUCAUUUCGAUUGAAACUUGUUAUAUUAUAUAUUUAUUUUUGGUCCUAUACAAUUCGAUUCAAUUUGGUGCAUGAAAAAAAAAUAAAAAAUCAGUUGCUAUAACUUGAAAUAUACUAAUUACAAAAAUAUUUUCUUAGCACUUGGAGAAACAUAUAAUGGUACUCCUGAUGUGUCCAAACUAUUAUAGGAGAACGAGCUAAAUGCUAUUUUAGAUGUCCAUUGUAUGCCCUAUUCAAUAUUUUGGUGAUUAAAUGAUUCAACCCGAUUAAUCAUCGGGGAUUGCGGACUCUAAUUAAGUAGGAACAAUCAAAAGAAAUAUGGAUUUGAUUAGUGCUUCGUUUGAAAUCACGGUUUGCAGCAAAAGAAAUUAUUAAUCCUAGUUGUUUUUGUUGGAUCUUCUCAGGUGGUUGCUAAAUUCGAUUAUGGCAGGCUAAUUAUAUAUCUUUAUUUGAGUUUGGUUCUACUUUUAACAAGAUUAUACACGAUCUUGCAAAGUUCUCUGUUUAGUAAGAAUAAUGAUGCCAAUAAAUAUGUACACUUCAACUUAACCUCAACAAAAAGCAGCACACCAUUUAGGGAUUAAAGUGAACUAAUUAUGAUAGGCCAGGGCUUCUCUCACAAUUCAGACAUCAGUUCUGGAUAGUGAGCAUUACUAUUCUAAAUACACCAAAUUAUGAUGUAUUACUUAUAAUACUAUUACAGACACUGUCUAUUGGCCUAUGUUAAGAAGCAUCACUAAUAAUACUAUGCGUAUAGAUAUAAUUUAAAACUUACACCAAAUUAUUGAGUAUUUUACUUGUUUUAGGUUGGCUAGAAAAGACCAUUUUUUCAGCUUCUAUAACAACAUUAAAGGACUUGAAUCUGUCUAUGAAGAGCUCUCAUGGCAACAUUCAGAUUCAAACAUUAACUUAGCAAUGAUGUUGGUCUCUGCAUAAAAAUGACUCAUUGAAUCUUAUUGCUCAAAGCGGAAACUGGGCCGACACAAACACAAAAGCCUUCGUCUGCCACUUGGCGUUGCAGCGUAGCACGUGAUUCUAUGAUGAUUAACUUUUGUCUGUGGAUUGAUGCUGACUGAAUCUUUUCCGUUGGUUGAACUUGCAUUUUCUGCUUCAUUUGUAUAUUUGUUGCUAUGUUUGGCUGUAUAUGUUAGGCCGUAUUGCGUAAUAGCUAUGUUUCUAGAUAGUGCGUAGUUGGUGCAACUGAUGGUGAUACAAAUUUGCUGAAAUAUUUUUAUAUUUUUUAAUGUCAUU